AGUGGUGUUUGGCUUGUAUGGGCGUGUUGGAUCCCUGCUCCGGGCAGCGACAGCACCCCCGUCUCGCCUCUUCAUUCGUCGGCACGGGCUCGGGCUCGUCCGCGGUYGGUUAUCCUGUGCUGCAUACCUAUCUKGAGGGCAUUCGGUCGGCUAAAACGGUCCCAUCUCCGCCCYGCGUCGCCGCCCCAUGCGGGYGUCCGGCGCGGGGUGGAUCUCACGGCGCGCGUCGCGUCUCGCACCGCAUCCGSCCACGCAUCGUGGGCGCUUGGGUAGGCGAGCCGCGGGGCRUCGCCCGUUGCCUCGGGUACGGAACAUCGGGUGGGUACGGGGCCUCGUCGGYCCCCGAUCGCCACAAMAACGCGUUCUACGCUUCUUGCGAACGAYCGUCGGGUCGGUCCAYGCCGCGUGCACCCGUGCAUCGGUCGGGGCCGCUCCGGCGUCGGUGAGGGAUGCUACCUGGUUGAUCCUGCCAGUAGUC
rnacentral:misc_RNA from 1 species